UUGGACCCUGUAGAAAACAUGAACACAAAAAACGUCAUCGGGAAACUGAAUGGUUUAAAAAAAAACGAUCACAAUGGCAAAACUGUUUUUCAGAGCGGGGCAAUGUUACUCCUCCAUAAACACUGGCAUGUGAAUAGGAAAAUAGAACCUCAGCCUCAGACUGGAAAACCUGUAAAUCUCAGGUCAUGUGCCAACUUCUGCACCCAGUUUGGAUCAAUGAACUGUUUUCAGAGAGAAAAACAUGCAAGCUUAAGUUAAUACUUUUGGAAAUAAAAAUAAGUACUCUUUUAGGAGGAUUUCAGCUUCAUCCUCUAGCUGUGUCUAUUAUUAUAUGGAAACAAAUUGCAUUUAAAGGUGUAAGUUCUUUCACUGAAAAUUCAAAGAAAUCAUAUACAAAUACACAAGUAAUCUGAUUAAAUGCUUUCUAAAGUAAGCUCCACCAGAUACCUUAGUUCACCAUAAUAAAGGCUAAUGAUAAUACAAAUAAAAGUACUCACAGAUGUUCCGGAUUCUCCAGGAGGUCCAGGAUUACCAGCUUCUCCAGGUUCACCCUGUGUGUGAGGAUAAAUUUAUAAGUCAUUAGGGAAAAUAUUUCUAUGAAUUUAUUUCUGUUAUUGCAUAUUCUUCUCGUGCUUAUUCACGUAAACAGCUUACAAGAACUGUUUUUUAUUGGGUCUACCUAAAGGGGUUGAGUAAUGUAUAUGGCUUUGCAGAACUGGAGUCUAAAAUUUGAGAUAAUAUAUCAAAUUAAUAUUUUUGUGAGCCAGGAGACUAACCUGCCCUUUGGGCUUUAGAAGAUCUUCUCCUUUAUUAUCCCAUACACUGCAAAUUUCCUGUUUGUCGUCUUUCUUUCUAGUCACAGAAAAGCCAAAUAAGUGUAUCGACUGUGUAUUUUUGUUCUUUAGAAUAAUUUUGUUUUCUAGAAGAUAAAUUUUGCCUGGAAGCAAGUUUCUACAAAUAACAGAAUAAUAACUGGAAAUGAAUGUAAAUGGAGUGAAGUGAUUAUUGCUAUAGGUACUGUUAGAAUAAAAAAAUUGUAUAAAGAAAACCAUAAGGAUAAAACAAUACCAUAGCAGUUAGUAAAACUUUAUCCACAGGCUACAGAGGUCUACACUAUGUAUUUACCAGCGAUGGAAAUUAUUCAGUAAAGCAGAUGGCUUUGAGGAUGACACCAUAGGAAGAAAAUUUGUUCAAGUCAAAGAUUAUGCCCUAUAAGUGAACAUUUAAGAUAAUUCAAUCUGUUUCUGAGCUCAUAUACAGUAUAAGCUCAAAGACUGCCUUUUCAAUUGUUCGUUUUAAAGUUUAGUUAUGACUGAUUAUUUUCUAGUUCAGUGGGCUGAUAAAUAAACUUUUUUUAGAAAACUAUUCCUACAGUAGAAUAUUUAGUUAUUAGCAUCACAGACACACAAAUAUGUGAAAGGAUAACAGAAUAUGCUUUGUGAUUGUCAUGGAGUACUGAGGUAAGAACUGUAUACUCUUAUUCCAAAGGAUUUUUCAAUCUAACUUCUAAUGGGGGGAUUUUCCCCCUCAUAUAUAUUCUUUUUUCAAACCAAAUGAACUUUGACAAUAAUUAAGCCUAUGGACAAGAGUAGUUUACUGCUGAAAAUGUAUUUUACCCAAUCUGCUCUACUGACCUCACAGAUUUGGAAUAAAUUUGUGUAUCCCUCAUAGCCCAUGUGACCUACACGCCCCUCUUCAUUCUAUGACAAUUCAAUUAAUACAUCAUGCGUGGCUGUCAUUUCUGUGUGGGCAGUAUAAAGCUACAAAUCAUAAAAUACAAAUUUUAAACAAAUGGUGUAGAUACUGAACUUUUUUUCAGAGAAGCUAAUAGCAGCACAAUGACCUCACUGGGACCAGAAUUUGGCCCAAUGUAAAUAUUACAUUAGAUUAGUGGAAAAAGAUUUGAGUACCCAACUGAAUUCCAGACUAGGUUAAUUAACAGACAACCAAAAUUUUAGGAGCAAUAUUAAAAUGCCCUUUAGAAAGGACACUUUUAAAGGGUGAAUGUGCCUUUAGAAACUGUGGUAUGUUUUAUUAGAUGAACUUGAAUUUGUAGUAAUGUUAAAAAUUAAUGAUCCCUUUUAGUAGUUAAUAUUCAUUUGCUUCUAUGAUACAGCAUUCGUUAUUAAAAAAAAAUAACCCUAGUGGAUACUUCAGGGCAAUAAGCAUUAAUUAUGUUUUCUAGGAAAAUCCAUAAUCUUCAUUUCCUUAUCCUCUGCACAGGGUCUACUGAAUCUGCAGCAUCAUUAGUGUUGGGGUUUGUCCAUGCCUCCUAUCAAUUGUAUGAGAUUUAUGCAGCAAUGCAGAAUGAAGCCUGGAGUUAACAAAAAUAUCGAUGUUAUUCAAGUUAAUAGACAUACUAUAUAUAACAGAGUCCACUAUAUAGAUCCUUUUAACAGCUGUUCCCACUGCAGGACUCACUAAAGGAGUAACAUAAGAGCACUAGUUGUGCCAAGCCUUUCCUGACAAGCACUUGUGCCAGAGUAAUCCCCUUGUAAGCUGCUCAGAGAGUGAGCUCUUUUUCUGCCUUUCUGCCAAAUGAUAUUGUAAUUUAUGAUGAUCCACAUUUGAUUUAUAAUACAAUUCUUACCCUUCCCAUUGACAAACACAUCUUCAUUUUAUGAUUAUCAUGCAACAAUGGGCUUUUUCUGACAUAUUGACCUAUCCUUGGGGGCACCAGGGGAUCUUGGGGUGCCUGCUGUAGCACACAUGUGGAAAUGGGCAGGUGCAGACAGCUCUGUGAACUUUGUGCAUAGUAACUCCCCCAAAAGCAGCAGUGUGGAAGGCAGUGAAAUUGGAAGGGCUAGAAAAUGUCAAGAUGUUCCCCUUAAAGGGCAUCUGUGAAAAAUGAGACCAGUUAAAGUUUCAUCUCACAUUAAUAUUCCUACAUCAUUGCUCUACAAAAAAAUGCGACUCCUCCUUGUAUGCAGUCCUUGUUUUAUCUGACAGUGAUUUUUAUAUUUCAAGUAUUAGGUAGUAUGAAAUUUUGUAUUUGGUUUAGACAGCUGUUAAGGGAGUAAAAGAGUGUUUUGAGAGAGAAGACUGUAGCUGGUAUAUAUUUACAGAGAGCAUACUUACAGCUACUAAGAACAGUGCAAUCUAUAGCUAUUGUUGACCCUUGUCUUUCUUUUUAUUUUUGGUAACAAUGGUAUUAAUUCAGAAUCUGAUACACAUUCUCCACGGAAAACAUUUCAUGUUCUUUUGGGAAAUACAUUUUAUUAUCUAAUAAUAGAUGUAUUUCAGCUCUGGAAAUAUUUUUUUUCUUUUGUUACCAGGUCAGAUCUUUUAAAAGUUAGUGUGGUCUUUCUCAGGCAAAGCCUUCCUCUGACAGAAUUUCAACAAGCAAAGACAGACAUCCUGAACUACAAAGCAUCAUGUCAUUUCACAGACAUGUUUAAUUCUGAAAACCUCCUUGGAUUAAGCAAGCAGAAUGGUUUCUAUCAAGCUAGGUAAAGUAGUUUAAAAGUUCUUAGUUUUCCUUAUGACCAGUUCUAGAGAACUGUCCAUACAAAGCACAGAGAUAGUGGGAUGGAAGGCUGCCACCUUUUGGUUAAAUUCUGGGGCAUGGUGAUUUAUUUUCUGAGAGGCAAUUUUGCAACUGACUGGGUUGUGAAAAGGAUUCAGUUACAGUUUUGCUCCUUUUUGCCAUUCUCACAAAACAGGAAAAAAAAGAAAGAGAAAAACUGUGAUUCUAGAAGACAAUCCCUUUUCCCAUAGGAGAACCACUAGGACCAGCAGGACCAGGAAGUCCUACAGGACCCUGUAUUCCAUCACGUCCAGCUGGACCUUGAGGACCUUUUUCACCCUGGUUGCCAAGAAAAGGAAGCAAUCCACAUAAUCACAGGAGACUAACGAAAAUUUCAGUACAAGGAGUCACAUUACCAAUACAAAAUUUAAAAAAACAGAGCCCCCACCUCUCGAAAAAAAGAAAAACAACCAAACAAAACAGUAGAAAGGAAACUCUCAAGGGAAGAGAAUAUAUCAGAGAAUAAUAAUAAUGGAAGCUGAUGUCAAAUACACUUGUACUCUAAUGCAGAGUGGCUGGGUACAAAGUUUUAAUGAAAGACUAAUUUAACAAAAUUUUUUAUUAUAUUCACACCAUGCUGUGACAAUAACAGGUUUAACUUUUCUUGGUGUUAGAGGGUAGGACAAUGAAUGUUUUACUGUUUCCUUUAUUGUAAAUCUAAAAGGAGUAGGUUGGGUAUUCUGAGACUAUAUAUUUAAUAGGCAAAUAUUAGAGUGGGACAAAGUAACCUUCUGGAAUGAAAAGUCUGUGCCAUGACAGUUUUCUGGGACUGUGAUUACUUACGGGAGCACCCUUCUCCCCUGCGGGGCCUGGGGGACCCUGAGGUCCAGGACGACCUGGAAGACCAAUUGGGCCAGCAGUGCCCGCUGCUCCACGUUCCCCUGGAGAACCCUGGAAAGAAAAACAAAGUAUAAGGGAAUUCUGAUAUAACCCAGAUAACUGUUGGUUGUUUUCAUGACUGAGGCAAACAGAGAAAAUGCCUGUUUCUCGGUGAGAUUGCAGCUGGUAGAAGGUACACAUGCAGCAUGAGUGCAAGUAAAGGAAAAGACUGAAAGAACUAACCUGAAGUUCAUACUCAAUACAGUUCGUACAAAACUAGUUUAUUAAUUUUUUUUGUAAAAUCAUUUCCUGUGUUUGUUCAUCAUAAUAAUAGUGUGCUUGAAAACAGCUGUUUUCAAGAACUUAUUUCUCUCUAUUUUCAAAAUGGAUUAACAUGCUACUUUGAUGAAAGACUAUUCACCUAUCAAAAUACAGAACUAACUCUCACCACAACCCAAAGUUUUAGUCAAGUUUUGUGCUGUACGUUGCUGUGAUGAUCAGUAUGUUUCUGCAUUUGAAGUCACCUGUGUAAAAAUCUAUUCAAGUAUAAUGACUAAUCUAGUGUGUCAUACAGAGGAGGCUUUUAUGCACAGGUAUCUUUACAUAAGCACAAAAAAGUUAAAAAUCUAAUAUUGUAAAUUAAAGGUGAAAAGACAGGCACUAUAUUUUGAAAACCACUAAAAUUGAACCUUUCUUUUCUGUCUCAAAUUAUUUACAAUUUUUGCAUCAAUAGAGUGCUGUUAAAGGUGCUCCCCAACUUUUCAGCUUUACACCUUCAAAAUAGUUUGUAAUAUUUUAAAGUUACGAUUCAUAAUUUACUUUUCCACAGAUAUCCUAGAAUUGGGAUACAUCGUGGAAUAGAUACGUAAUAGGUGGUGUAGUCUGAGGCUCUGAAUAGCCUUUAUUUUCACGUCUAAGCAAGGUCAAAUUUGCUGGCCCUUGGACAUUGGAAUUUUAAGAUGCUUUCACCUCUGAGAGCCUGUUUUUUUGCUUUUACUCAUGACAUACUUUUCUGAACUGACCUUGUUAGCAUAACUAGUACUAAUUCCAUAAUAAGGUGCUUGUCCCUCCCGAUAAUUGUGUCAGAAAGAAUAAUGAAUGAUUUCUCAAAAUAUUUUCGUGAAUUAUCUCAGUAAGAUCUAAAUUUGUGUGAGUGUUCAAAUAAAGUAUUUGUAUGGGAAUCAUAGAUGACUUUAUCCUUCCAGGUGUUGGGGUUUUUUAAGUCUGGGUGAAUGCCUAAGUUUCAGUCCUAUUUCUGUUAUUUUAGUUCCUAAGGCUUCAGUGAAUUCAACAAGAAAAAGUCACCACCCUGCAGCCAUUCUACCAUGGUCUCUGAUCUUGUCAGCUCUCAUAAACUAAACAAUUUUAGGUCAUCUCAUCAGUAGAAUGCAAGAAUAGAGAUGAAUAAAACCCAAAUAACUCAAAGAUCCUUCCUAUGUCAGACAGCAGACACUAACAGUAGCCAUAAUUUCUAGUAGCUCUUUUUACUCAGCCAACUUUUUACAUUUAUCUUUGCAUUUCACCAGGGUAUGAACAUGGACUAAACCUUCUGUUUUCAAGGAACCUCUCCCUUCUCUGUGAGAAUGGUCUCUGAUCAAAGCAGAACACAUUAAAUCAUAGUCACAACUCAGAAAAGCAUUUAGGCAGCUUCUUAAGUCUGUUCUCUCUUUCUAUGUUUGUUAUCUUUUUUUGGUCACUCUGUCCCACUAUGAAACAACCUCCUUAUAUUAUGAGACUAUUUGUUAACCUGUGGCCUUGCAGUGGUAUUCACAUCCUGGAACCUUUCUAUUAAUUCAUGGGUUUUUUUAAAAAAACUUCUCUACAGAAUGGAAGUGUCAUGUUUUGUCAUGUAAUACUCUUACACAGGCUAUAAACUCAUUAUCAAUCUUGGUUUUAUCUCACUUUCUGUGACAAAAUAUGUACCUAUAGCUAUUGUAGCCAUUGCAUAGUAGUGGCAAUACUUUUUACUAAUGGUUAACAAAAUGCUCAACAAGUGAGGGUCCCCAUGACUGCAAAAUGUUAUCAGAGGGAUGAAAACAGCUCUAGAUAGCUCAGUACCAAUAAUUGGGUAGCCUACAGCUGGCUUAUUCUGAGUCUAAUUUGAGCAUCCUAUUCCUAAAUGAGCAAAUGAAAAAUGACUGCUUGACAUUCCAAAGAGCUUUCUCUCAUCAGCAUUCAGCAUCCCACACAGUAGUAUGAGAAGGGAGGAAAACAAACAGAAGACAAAGAUAGCAGAUAAAAGAGAGCUGUUAAAAAACCUCAAACAAAACCACCAUGACAACAAAAAAACCUCAACCACAAAACCAGCCACAAAACCUCCACAAAAAGAACCCAAAAAACCAAACAUGAACCCCUUACCAAACCAACAGAAAAGCCCCCUUGCUCUGAAGUGCAUUCAUGCAUCUCUUUCUUUUGUCCAAAUCCCUCUAAACACAGUAUAAUUGGCACGCACAGUAUUUGGAGCAGUCAUUUGUUUGGUAUGCUUGCAGAUGUAUCUGCUAGCCAAAUAAACGUUAUAAUUGACUAUAUAUGCUAGUUGAAAGCAAUUGGUAUUGGCAGAGAAUCGGAGGAAAGUCAUCCAGUGGCAUGAAUUCUCUUCCUAUUAUAAAUGGCAAAUGAAGACUCCACUAUAAUUACACUUCUGGGUGUACCCGCUGUUGGCUAAAAAUAGAUGGGAAAAUAUUUUAGGAUUAUUUGAUGCUCAUGGUCUGCUCUGACCUACUGUGAAAAUGAAGCAAGCUAUUGUGGUUUAAUUCUGGUCCUUGAAGAUGCACAGAAACCCAGUAUUAAGGGCACCUCUACAACUUUUUUUCACUAAAAAACUGUUUCAAGAUAAAAAGUUAGUAAUUAAAGAUGAAAUGGAUAAAAAUCCCUCUGAGGACUCCUGGAGUACUUUCAGGGAGGCUUGGUGCUUGUUUGCACCUCAAGUGGCCUGCUUGUACUACAGUGAACUCAAAGCAUUUAAAAAAAAAUUAAACUGCCCCUUAAACUCUCUUUCCACUCUUGCUACCACUACAUUUAUUUCUUAAAUAUUGGAAAAACCAUAUGCAAAAAUUUCUUAGCCUCCCAAGUGUUUCUUUCUAUGACUGUUUACCUUAGCAGAAAGUGUGGCCCCAACAGGAAUGGAUUUCUACACUGAAGCCCUUGGUAUUGUGCUCCUGACACUCAUAUUCUUUAUGUUUCUGCACUAUAAUUCAUAGCAAUUCUAGUCUGGCAGUGAACUCCCAUUAGCUGGGGAGCAUUAAUAGGAAUUCCUGGAUUUUCUCUAUCAAUUUAGUUUCACAUGAAAGUAAUACUAUUCAUGAGCUCUGAGAGAGCUCCAUGAUGUGAACCAAAAGAUAGUAAAUGGGGAUAAUUGAGAUAUCCUCCUUAAAAAGUGUUUUCAACUAAAACACUAACUUAUACACACCCUAUGGGAAUUAGAAAAACAUGGAUCAUCUGAAUUUAAAUUCAAACACGUGUAUUUCAGAAUACAGACAACUAUCACUAAAUAAGAUAUGUGCUUUUGCCUCACAACCUUAUGUAUGUGUCUUUAUGAGGAACUAUGACAGGAGUGGCACUGCUACUGUGUGGACAUCCUGUCUGGCAAAGUGGGGUGUGUUAAAUGUCAGGUAUGUUUGUGCUGUCUGGUUUGUGCAUGCUCAGAAGAGUUCUGGUUCAUUGCACCUGAACUAACUAUCUGCUUGAGAGUUCAGUCCAGCCUUAGAGGCUCCUCUAACAAAGAAUCAAGCUAUGACCUUUAGAUUGAAGAGAUUAUUCUGGUCUGUGCUUUCUUGAUUUUGAUUCACCUUUUCUUUUAACAUUUCAGGUUCUUCAGAUGGGUAAGGUGAUAUCCCUUUUGACUCUCCCUACCAGUUUCUAUUCUGUUUCAUUCCAUUCCCAGCUACCUUGUUUCAGUGCCUUUUGGGAAUAUAUUUGUACUUCACAGUUUUAACAACUAAUUCACAAAUUCAAGUUCUCGUUUUAAAGAAUAGAUGCUAAAAGGCAUUAAGAAUUCAAUAACCAAUUUUAAGAAUUCAAGUACCAAGUAUUACUUGUACUACUAAUACUCUUUGAGGUUUUUUUAUCCUUGUCUAGUGCAUUUUAAUCUCAAUAUGAAUUGCUGGAACAUAAGAGAGCUUCAUUGUUGAAAUACACAGAAUUUCAGCUCCUCCAUUAUUUUUUUUGUCUAACAAGAAUAGCUACGCUGAUUGAUAUUUUUUUUUCCUUUACUUCAAUUGCACUAAAUGAAAUAAAUAAGUUGUCAACAGUCAAAAUUGACACACUUCAAAUUU